rnacentral:rRNA from 1 species
UACGUAGGGGGCAAGCGUUGUCCGGAAUCACUGGGCGUAAAGGGCGCGUAGGCGGCUGGGGAAGUCGGCGGUGAAAGCCCGGAGCUCAACUCCGGGUCGGCCGUCGAGACUCCUCGGCUCGAGCUCACUAGAGGCAGAUGGAAUUCCGGGUGUAGCGGUGGAAUGCGUAGAGAUCCGGAAGAACACCGGUGGCGAAGGCGGUCUGCUGGGGUGAGGCUGACGCUGAUGCGCGACAGCGUGGGGAGCAAACAGG